AACGAACGCUGGCGGCAUGCCUAACACAUGCAAGUCGAACGAGACCUUCGGGUCUAGUUGCGCACGGGUGCGUAACGCGUGGGAACCUGCCCUUAGGUUCGGAAUAACUCCCCGAAAGGGGUGCUAAUACCGGAUAAUGUCUUCGGACCAAAGAUUUAUCGCCUUUGGAUGGGCCCGCGUUGGAUUAGCUAGUUGGUAGGGUAAAAGCCUACCAAGGCGACGAUCCAUAGCUGGUCUGAGAGGAUGAUCAGCCACACUGGGACUGAGACACGGCCCAGACCCCGACGGGAGGGAGCAGUAGGGAAUAUUGGACGAUGGGCGAAAGCCUGAUCAAGCAAUGCCGCGUGAGUGAUGAAGGCCUUAGGGUUGUAAAGCUCUUUUACCCGGGAUGAUAAUGACAGUACCGGGAGAAUAAGCUCCGGCUAACUCCGUG
rnacentral:rRNA from 1 species